AUUGAACGCUGGCGGCAUGCUUUACACAUGCAAGUCGAACGGCAGCACGGGUGCUUGCACCUGGUGGCGAGUGGCGGACGGGUGAGUAAUACAUCGGAACGUGUCCAGAAGAGGGGGAUAACGCAUCGAAAGAUGUGCUAAUACCGCAUAUGCUCUGAGGAGGAAAGUAGGGGAUCGAAAGACCUUACGCUUUUGGAGCGGCCGAUGUCUGAUUAGCUAGUUGUGGGGUAAGGGCCUACCAAGGCGACGAUCAGUAGUUGGUCUGAGAGGACGACCAGCCACACUGGGACUGAGACACGGCCCAGACUCCUACGGGAGGCAGCAGUGGGGAAUUUUGGACAAUGGGCGCAAGCCUGAUCCAGCAAUGCCGCGUGAGUGAAGAAGGCCUUCGGGUUGUAAAGCUCUUUCAGUCGAGAAGAAAAGGCUGCAGUGAAUAACUGUAGUUUAUGACGGUAUCGACAGAAGAAGCACCGGCUAACUACGUG
rnacentral:rRNA from 1 species